rnacentral:hammerhead_ribozyme from 1 species
GUACAGAUGAAGAAUCCCAAAAUAGGACGAGACAGCUGUCUAGUAC